CUCAAGGGAGGGGCACCUGGACGGACAAGGGGACUUGAUGUGUACGCCGUCGACUCAUUUUCAGAUGGAUUAAAUGGGAUCAAUCAGCUGAGCUAACAUCUGGAGUCAUCCUUCAUUGAUGCUAACUUGGUUUCUCAAGUUCAUAAUUUUCUUCAAUCUUUGCUUAUAUAACUAAGAAAAGGAAUGGUGACAAAAGGCUCUAGAUAUGAAUUUGCAUGAUAAUUGCAUAUCUUCUUUCUCAGUUCUUGUCGUUUCCAUUUUUUAAUCAU
rnacentral:misc_RNA from 1 species